rnacentral:rRNA from 1 species
AUUGAACGCUGGCGGCAGGCCUAACACAUGCAAGUCGAGCGGAUGAAGGGAGCUUGCUUCUGGAUUCAGCGGCGGACGGGUGAGUAAUGCCUAGGAAUCUGCCUGGUCGUGGGGGAUAACGUCACGAAACGGGCGCUAAUACCGCAUACGUUCUGAGGGAGAAAGUGGGGGAUCUUCGGACCUCACGCUAUCAGCAGAGCCUAGGUCGGAUUGGCUAGUUGGUGGGGUAAAGGCCUACCAAGGCGACGAUCCGUAACUGGUCUGAGAGGAUGAUCAGUCACACUGGAACUGAGAAACGGUCCAGACUCCUACGGGAGGCAGCAGUGGGGAAUAUUGGACAUGGGGCGAAAGCCUGAUCCAGCCAUGCCGCGUGGGUGAAGAAGGUCUUCGGAUUGUAAAGCACGUUAAGUUGGGAGAAAGGGCAGUAAGUUAAUACCUUGCUGUUUUGACGUUACCAACAGAAUAAGCACCGGCUAACUUCGUG